rnacentral:lncRNA from 1 species
AGGUAUGGACAAGGUUCUGACCCUUAUUAUUGGAACUCAAAUCCAGAUGGAGUUUGGUAAGGUUCUAAUCAUUUGAGGGGUAUUCUUUUUUUUGAAGAUUUGUACAUCUUCAGGGGAAUUUCUACUUUAAAGAAGUUAUCAUUUGUGGGAGGUCCGUUAUGAAGAUUUUAAAUAGUUUGAGGGAAUUCCUCUGUCUUUGAAGAUGUCUAUAUUCAGUGAAAACAUUUGCCAACUUAGAUGGUCACAUUUCCCUACUACAAAACCUCUCCUUCGAAAAUGAAUCAAAUCCCCCUUGUAAUGUAUUGGCUGUACGGAGGCUUAAGGGUUUUUUCUUUCUUUCUUUUCUUCGCUAACAUUGGAAACACUGAAAAGAACAUUUUUGUGUUUGAGUGAAAGUAAGAUUUAAAGUGGUACUGGGAGACAACCAAAAUGGCAAAAUAAUAAACACAUAUGUUAAUAUCAUUGAGUGGAAGAUUAAAAUAGCAAUGAUCAAAGACAAGCGUGGUUCAAUGUGUGACAUUUCUUUCUUGCAACUUAUUGUGUCAUUAUGGAAGCCUUAUUGUCUGGAAAAAAAGGUUCAAAGGCAGUUUUAAAGAUGCUUAGUUAAAGGCUAAAGUCAGUAUGGUUUAAAAGGUAACUGAUCUAUAGAUGAACUAAUAACUACCAACAGCAUCAUUUUUUUCCCCAGUCUGUAGUUGACAGAGCUCCCUCCCUCUUACCCCACAGCAAGGCAGGAGUCAGACCAGUUUCAGCUCCAGAGGUUUUCAAUCUCCAAACCAUUGGCUCCCUGAAACUGGAGUCCCUGGAUUUCGUGACUCCCAGAAUCACUUUCUAGAUAAAUUACCGGUGCCCAAAACUUUGCCCAAGGUUCUACUUUCAGAGAAACACUAACCAAGACAAACAACACAAUUAAAAAUCACUAGAUAGUAUAUGAGAAGGAAUAUAGGCUAUGUGAAAGAAUUGAGCAGGGCAGGGAGACUGGGGGUACAAGGUUGGAGUGGAAGAUGGCUGGUUGAGAUUUUAAAUAGAGUGGUCAGGAAAGACCUACCGAGUCAAGUGACAUUUGAACAAAGAAUGAAAGGUGAAUGAGUUGACCCAAAAGAUGCAUGGUGAAGAGAGUUCCCAGGAGUGGGGGAGGCAGGGCAAAGGCCUUGAGACUGGAGCCUGUGUGGCAUAUGGUUGCAAGGGUGAGACCUGGGGACAGGGGAUGAGAGCAGAGGUAAGAGGGCAGGAAAGAAUUUGAGAUGAGAGUCCAUAGAAGGCUGUAGACCAACGAGCUCCCCACACAGACACUGGGCUGGUCAAAUAUGCCUCCUUCUCUUCCUACUUGUCCGUUAUGGCAAGGGGAUUGGAUGGUAAUUAUGCCUCCCUAUUUGAUUUCUGACUUUAUUCAUUCAUCUGUAAAAUGAAAAUGACAAUUUUUAUUGUUAUUAAAUCUGUAGAUGUGAAAGUCACCAUUUGUGGGGAAAGGUUGAGUUUUAAAACCUUUAUUUUCUUGGGAAAUAAUUAUUUCCAAGCCCCUUGUCUCCAUAUCUAAGGAAAGUCACCAGAUGGAAGAAUGAGAUUCCUUUUGUUCCUGAAAGCUAUUUUGAUUUCCAAGCUAAAAAAAAAAAAAAACAAACAAAAAAAAAAAAAAACAGUUUGGAGCAUGAUAAUCUGUUAUCGGCAUGCUAGAGAGUAGUCCCAAAUGAAAGAGAUAUGAAUAUUCAAGUACAUUUUAUUUGGGAGAUUUCAGAUUAGCUUCCCCAUUUGCUACUUUACUAUUUAAUGAAAUGAGAGAGCAUGAGUGUAUGUUAGCAUUUUCUUUCACAUAUUAUGAUCGUUCUUACUUAAAAUUUGAACUUUAUAAAUUAAUGUUGAUGCAUGAUUAACUGGUUUCUUGAUAUUUGGCUUUGAUAUUUUUUUUCUUUUAUGCUAAAUUUCUUUUCCCAACUUCAAAAUAUAACAUUUUACUUUUGUGUUAACAGUCAUUUGAGAAGCAAAAGCCUCCUUCUUUCCUUUUCUUCCUCCCUCCAUUUUUUCCUCCCUCCCUUCCUUCCUAGACAGACAUGUGCCCAUCUAUACUUAGUCAUCUGUGCAAAGCAUGCCCAAAAUUGUACCCGGAAUUGUAACUGGAAAAGUCCUGUGAUGCCAACUAUAUCUGAACUUUAGGAUGUCACUCCUUUACUUUUGUAUGAAGAUUUAGUUAUGAUAGAAAACCGCAUUGAAGUGUAUGUUUCAACACAAUUUCAGAUGAUAAUGUGAUUAUAAAAUUAUGCAUUUAAAUAUGCAGAUUUUAUAUAAUUAUAGAAAAAGGCUAUAUUUGGUUGUGAAUAAGAUAAUGAGGCUUUGGGGGGAAAACGGUUUUAUAAGUUACUUUAUUAAUCUCAUGUACUAAAGAGGUAGAACAAGAAAGAAGUGAUUUUUUUUACAUUUAUUUAUUUUUGAGAAACAGAGUGAGACAAAGCAUGAGCGGUGGAGGGGCAGAGAGAGAAGGAAGCACAGAAUCUGAAGCAGGCUCCAGGCUCUGAGCAAGCUGUCAGCACAGAGCCUGAUGCGGGGCUUGAACCCACAAACUGUGAGAUGAUGACCUAAGCUGAAGUCGGACGCUCAACCAACUGAGCCACCCAGGUGCCCCAAGAGAGAAGUGAUUUAAAAAUAUAUAUGACUUACUUUUCCUCUGUUUUUUUUUUUCAAAGUUUAUUGUGAGAGGGUGGGGGAGGGGGAGAGAAAGUGAGAGAGAGAGAGAGAGAGAGAGAGAAUCCCAAGCAGACUCCACACUGUCAGUGCAGAGCCCAAUGUGGAGCAUGUGAGAUCAUGAUCUGGGCUGAAAGUCAAGCACUUAACCAAAUGAGCCACCCAGGUGCCUUUCUUUCCUUUGUUCUUAAAGCACAAAAUGAUGAUGAGGAACUUAGAUCAUGGAUUUUGGUAAUUAUAAUUUUCCCAAGAAAAAAAUCUAUCACUUCUACAUUUCAAAAUGCAUUGAUAUAAGGCCCUUAUAGUAUAUUUGCAAGUGAAAAAUUGUCAUAUUUAUUAUUUGCCCCUUUCAUUUUCCUAAUGGUCUUUAUUUGUAUUUUCUCUCUUUUUAUCUUGGAUAGACUUGCAAAAGGUUAUCUACUAUAUUGCUGUUACCAUGUUUUUGGUUUUAUUGAAACUUAAUUUUCAAAUUCAUAUUUUAGGAUUUUAUAUUCACUGGUUCUGACCUUGUAGUUUCAUUGCAUUUAUUGUGUAUUAUAUUCCUUGCUUCUCUAUUUGGUGUAUGCAUUUAUUUUCAAUCUUUCUUGUACUCUGAUUAAAUACAUUUAAGACCAUCAAUUUCCAUUGCUUGCUUCUUCAGGCAAACUUCAUAGUUGUUCAUUAAGAGCAUGCUCAUUAUUAUCAUUUUUUAAAAAAAAUUUAUGAUUAUUUGUUUCUGAGACAAAGAGACAGAGCACGAGUGGGGAAGGGGCAGAACGAGAGGGAGAAACAGAAUCAGAAGCAGGCUCCAGGCUCUGAGCUGUCAGCACAAAGCCCUAUGUGGGGCUCGAACUCACAAACUGUGAGAUCAUAACCUGAGCCAAAGUCGGUCGCUCAACCAACUGAGCCACCCAGGCGCCCCUCAUUAUUAUCAUUUUAAAGUUUCUACAUAGUUUCUCAUUUCCAUUUUGUGUUGAUCUACAAUUCAUAUAAAAUUUCAUAUAAAGUAAAAUUCAUAAUUUUUAUAAUUUUAGAGUACAUAGUUUUAAGUGCACUUUAUAAAGUUCAAAAUAUGUGCAACCAUCCCCACUAUCCAAUUCCAGAAUAUUUCCAUCACUGCGAAAAAGAAAUCUUAUACUCAUUCACUCCCUAUUACCCUCUACCUCCAGCUCCUGGCAAUUAGUCUACUUUCUGUAUCUACGAUUUUCCCAUUCUGGUUGUUUCGUACAAAUGGAGUCAUAUAAUAUGUUGCCUUUUGCGUCUGGCUUCUUUCACUUAGCAAUGUUUUUAAAGUUCAUCAUGUUGUAGCCUGUAUUAGUACUCUUCAUUCUUAAUAAUAUCCAGAAUUGCUGAAUAAUAUUCCAUUGUGUGGACAUACCACGUUUUGUUUAUCCAUUCAAUAGUUAGUGGACAUAUGAGUUGUUCUGACUUUUUGGCUGCUGUUAAUUCUGUUGCUAUGAACAUUUGUGUACAGAUUUUUGUAUGAACAUAUGUUUUCACUUCUGUUAGGUAUAUAUCUAGGAGUGGGAUUGCCAGGUCAUAUGGCAACUCCCUAUUUAAUCAUUGGAGGAACUGCCAGACACUUUUCCAAGGGGGAUGAAGCAUUUUAUAUUCUCACCAGCAAUGUACAAGGGCUCUAAUUUUUCCACAUUUCCUCCAAAACUUGUUAUUUUAUGGGUUUUUAAAAAAUAUUAUAACCAUCCUAAUGGGUGUGAAAUGACAUCUCAUUUGGUUUUGAUUUUUAUUUCUAUAAGUACUGAUAUGGAACAUCUUUUCAUAUGCUAUUAGACAUUUCUACAUCUUCUUUGGAGAACUGUCUAAAUUCUUUGUCAACUUUUUAUUGGGUUAUUUUUCUUUUUAUUGCUGAGUGAUAAGAAUUCUGGAUACUCUGGAUAUUAGGCCCUUGUCUGAGAUAUGAUUUGCAACUAUUUUUUCUCGUUCUGUGGUUGUAUGUUCACAUUUGUAAUAUUGUCUCAACACACAAGAAUUCAAAAUUCUGAUGAGGUCUAAUUUAUUUAUUUUACCUUUGGUUGCUUGAGAUUUUGUUAUUAUAGCUAAGAAACCACUGCCUAAUUCAAGGUCAUGAGGAUUUACACAGAAGUUUCCUUCUGAGAAUGUUAUUUUUAGCUCUUACAUUUAGAUCUUGAUCAAUUUUGAAAUAUUUUUUGUAUAUGGUGUAAGGGGCUCAAAUUCAUUCUUCUACAUGUGGAUAUCCAGGUAUAUCAGCACUAUCUGUUGAAAAGAUAAUUCUAAUUGUUUUGGCACCCUAGUAAAAAUUAAUUGACUAAAGAUGUAAGAGUUUAUUUAAUUUUAUUCCUCACUCAUCUAUAUGUCUAUGCUUAUGCUAGUACUACACUUUCAAUUCCUGUAGUUUUUAGUAAGUUUUAAAAUCAGGAAGUGUGAAUUCUUCAACUUUGUUCAUCUUAAAGAUUGUUUUACUAUUCUUACAUUUACAAAUGAGAUUUAGAAUCAGCUUAUCCAUUUCUGCAGAAAAAGGAAAUGGAAAUUUUACAGGAAUUUCAUUGAACCUAUAAAUCAAUUUUGGGAAUAUUACCAUCUUAACAAUAUUAAGUUUUCCAAUCCAUGAAUAUGGAUAUCUUUCCAUUGAUUUAGGUCUUCUUUAAUCCUUUUUAAUGACAUUUUGUAGUUUUCAGCAUACAUGCCUUGUAAAUGUUUGUUAAAUAUAUUCUUAAAUAUUGUAUUAUUUUUGAUGUUAUUGUAAACGAUAUUGUUUGUUUAUUACAUUUUCAGAUCACUAAUAAUGUAUAAGAAUACAACAGAUUUUAUAUAUUGAUCUUGUAUCUUGCAAACUUGUAGAAAUUGUGUAUUACCUCUGACAGGUGUGUGUGUGUGUGUAUGUGUGUGUGUGUGUGUGUGUGUGUGUAUUCUUCAGGAUUUUAUAUGUGUAAGGUCAUGUCAUCGCAAAUAGAGAUCAUUUUAAUUCUUUCUUUUAAUAUUUUAAUCUUUGGGGCGCCUGGGUGGCUCAGUCGGUUAAGCGUCCGACUUCAGCCAGGUCACGAUCUCGCGUCCGUGAGUUCGAGCCCCGCGUCAGGCUCUGGGCUGAUGGCUCAGAGCCUGGAGCCUGUUUCCGAUUCUGUGUCUCCCUCUCUCUCUGCCCCUCCCCCGUUCAUGCUGUGUCUCUCUCUGUCCCAAAAAUAAAUAAACGUUGAAAAAAAAAUUAAAAAAAAAAAAGAAAAAAAAAUUUUAAUCUUUAAUCUUUUAAUCUGGAUUUUUAAAAUUUCUUUUUCUUGACUAACUGGAUAGAAUUUCAAUACAGUGUUGAAUAGAAGCGGGGAAGUGUGAACAUCCUUGUGUUUUUCUUUAUCUUAGGGGGAACACUUUCACUAUUAGGUAUGAUAUUAGCUGUGGGUUUUUUAUAUGCCAUUAAUUUUAUAUGCCAUCAAUCCUUUUAAUUUCUAGUUUGUUGAGAGUUUUUAUCUUUUUAAUUUUUUUAAUGUUUAUUUACUUUUUGAGUGACAGACAGAGCAUGAGUGGGGGAGGGGCAGAGAGAGAGGGAGACACAGAAUCCAAGGCAGGAUCUAGGCUCUGAGCUGUCAGCACAGAGCCUGAUUGGGGCUUGAACUCAUGAGCUGUGAGAUCAUGACCUGAGCCCAAGCUGGCCGCUCAACUGACUAAGCCACCCAGGUGCCCUGAAAGUUUUUAUCUUGAAAGAGAUUUUGUCAAGUGUUUUUUCUGUAUUUUACUUGUUAUAGGUUUAUUCAGAUUUUUUAUUUCUUCUUGAUUCCCUUUUGGUAGUUUGUGUCUUUCUGGUAAUUUUUCCAUCUCAUCUAGGUUAUUGAAUUUGUUGGCAUACAAUUCAUAGUGUUCCCUUAUAGUCCUUUUUUAUUUCUAUAUAAGUCCCUUCAUUCAUUCCUGAAGUUAGUAACUAGAGUCUUUUCUCUUUUUUACUUGGUCAGUAUAGCUAAAGUUUUGUCAAUUUUGUUGAACUUUUCAAAGAACCCACUGUUGGUUUGGUUGAUUCUCUCUGCUGUUUUUCUGUCUUUAUUUAUUUCUGUUCUAAUCUUUGGUUUUCCCUUCCUUCUGUUUGCUUUAGGUAUAGGUUGCUAUUCUUUUUCUAGUUCUUUAUGUAGGAAGAUUGGGUUAUUAAUUUCAUUUUUUUUCUAUUUCAAUGUGUUUAUAGCUAUGAUUUUCUCUCAGCAUGGUUUUCACUGCAUCCAUCAGUUUUGUUGUAUUAUGUUUUUGUUUUUGUUCCUAUAAAACUAUAUACUAACUUCUUUUUUGACCCAUUAUUUGCUUAGCAGUAAUUCUAAUUUCCAUAUAUUUGUGAAUUUUCCAAAUUUCUGUCUCCUGUUGAUUUAUAAUUUCAUUCCAUUGCAGCUGAUGAAUAUACUUUGUAUGAUUUCAGUCAUUUUAAAUUUAUUGAGACUUGUUCGUGGCCUAACAUAUGGUCUAUCUUUGAGAACAUUCCGUAUGCACUUGAGAAAAAUGUGUAUUUUGGUGUUUGUGUGGAGUGUUCUAUAGAUGUCUGUUAGGUUUAGUUGAUUUAUAGUAUUAUUCAAACCCACUAUUUCUUGCUUAUCUUGUCUAGUUGUUCUAUCUAUUGGGAUCACUAGCUAUUCUUACUCAAUUGUCUAUUUCUUUCUUUGAUUCUGUCUGUUUUUGCUUUAUGUGUUUUGGGGCUCUGCUGUAAGGUGCAUAUGUCAUCAUUGUCAUACCUUCUUAAAAUAUUAACACUUUUAUCAUUAUAAAAAUUCCUUCUUUGUUUCUAGUAAUCCUUUCUUGUUUUAAAUUCCAUCUGUCUGAUAUUAGUAUGGUCACUUCAGCUUCUUUUGGUUACUAUUUGCAUAGAAUAUCUUUUUCUAUUCUUUUACUUUCAAUAUAUUUGUGCCUUUGAAUCUAAAAUGUAUUUCUUAUAGACAGUAUGUAGUUGGAUCAUUUAAAAAAAUCCAUUCUGCCAAUCUCUUUUAUGUGGGAAUUUAGUCCAUCUAUACUUAAUAUAAUUACUGAUAAAGAAGGAUUUAUUUUUUUCUAUUUUACUGUUUGUUUUCUAUAUGUCUUAUAUUUUUUGUUCCUCAAUUAUUCCACUCCUGCAUUUUCCUAUACAUUAGGUAUUUUCUAGUGUAUCAUUGUAACUUUCCACGAUUUUUAAAGUUAUUUUCAUUGUGAUUACAAUGAACAUAUUAAUUUAUAAAAAUUUAUUUCAUGGGGCAUCUGGGUAGCUCAGUCAGUUAAGCGUCUGACUUCAGCUCAGGUCACGAUCUCAUUGUUCAUGAGUUCGGGCCCCACAUUGGGCUCUGUGCUGACAGCUCAGAGCCUGGAACCUGCUUCAGAUUCUGUGUCUCCCUCUCUCUCUCUCCACCCCUCCCCCACUCAUGAUCUGUCUGUCUGUCUCUCUCAAGAAUAAAACAUUAAAAAAAUGUUUAAAAAUUUAUUUCAUGUUAAUACCAACUUAAUUUUAUACUGUGCAAAAACUUUUUUCCCAUAUAGAUCCAUUCCCCUUCCUUUAUAUAUCUAGUAUCACAAAUGCCAUUUUUAUACAUGUGUGUCCGUUAUUAUACAUUUAUAUUAUUUUUUAUGAAAUUGUAUUUUAAAUCAUAUGGGAAAAAUGGAUUAAAAACAAAAAUAGUUUUCAUUAUUUUAUUUUUUUAAAGAUCUUUUAAAAUGUUUAUUUCAGAGAGAAAGAGAGAGGACAGACAGAGAGGGGGUUCUUUAUUUUUUCAUGAAGAUUUGAAUUAUAGUCUAGUGACUUUAUUAAUUUAUUUAUUUAGAAAGAGAGAUGGAGAGGCAGAGAGAUGGAGACAGAGGAUCCAAAGCAGGCUCUGCACUUAGCCUGAUGUAGGGCUCGAACUCACAAACUGUGAGAUCAUGACUUGAUCUAAAGUCAGAGGCUUAACCAUCUGAGCCACCCAGGCACCCUUAGUGAUCUUUCUUUUCAACCUGAGGGACUUUUAGGGUAGGCCUACUAGUGACAAACUCUUUUAGAUUGUUUUUGUUUGUUUUUAACCUGGGAAAGCUUUGAUUUCUCCUUCAUUUUUGAAGGACAGUUUUGACAGAUACAAAAUUCUUGUUUUUGUUUUUUUUAAAAUUUAGAUUCAAGUUAGUUAACAUAUAGUGUGGUAUUUGGUUCAGUAGAAUUUAGUGAUUCAUCACUUAUAUAUAACACCCAGUGUUCAUCCCAAUAAGUGCCCUCUUUAAUGGUCAUCACCCCUUAACCUGUCCCCCCACUCACCUCCCCUCCAGAAACCCUCAGAUUGUUCUUUAUACUUAAGAGUCUCUUAUGGUUUGCCUACCUCAACUGAUAUGAAAUUCUUAAUUGACAAUAUUUGUCUUUCAGCAUUUUGACUGUGUCAUCUGACUGCCUUCUGGUCUCCAUAGUUGCUGUGAGAAGUUGGCUGUUAUUGAAGACCCAUUGUACAUGGGGAGAAUCCUCUUUUGCUGCUUUCAAGGUUUUUUUCUUCAUGUUUAGCUUUCAACAGUCUACUUUGGUUUGCCUAGGUUGAAUCUCUUUGAUUCAUCCUACUUGAAUUUCACUGGGCUUUUCAGAUGUAUAGAUGAAUGUUUUCAUGAAAUUUGAGAAGAUUGUAUCAUUAUUUCUUUAGAUAAUCUUUCCUAUAUUUGUUUAUUUACUUAUUUAUGGUUUUUAUUUUUAAGUAAUCUCUUACAAUCCAAUGUGGGGUUUGAACUUACAACCCCUAGAUCAAGAGUCUCAUGCUCUAUUGACUGAGCCAGACAGGUGCCCUUCUUCAGACAAUCUUUCUAACACUUUCUUUUCUUCUGAGAUUCCUGUUACAUGAUGCUAUCAUGAUGGAUGAUGUCCCACAGUUCUCUGAGGCCUGUUAAUUUAUUUUUCAUUCUUUUUUCUCUCUCUUACUCAGGCUGGAUAAUUUCAAUUGACCCUCUCAAGUUUGAUUUUUAAAAAGUUUUUAUAUUGUGGAUUUUUUACUUGAUGGCACAAUGUUCAGUAGAUGUGAAACUUGUAACUCCUAUUUUGGGGGGAAUUCAUUGAAAUUUUAUUUAUGCCCUAACAGAAGCUCAAAUUUGUGACAAUUUCUUGUGUGUUUUAAAAUAAUGCAUGUCCUUUCUUUGCCACAUUCAAGGUGCUGUGUACAUCUUCAUAUAAUAUUUAAUUCAUAUAGGCUUUAGCUUUACACAAUUCUGGGAGUUUUUAAAUUGUUGAUACAUAAAAUAGUAUUUAAAAGUUUUCUUCUGUGAUUGUGAAAUUGUCAAUUUUUUUAUUUAUGUCCACUUUGCCUUAUAUAUUUUAUUGACAUGUGAUUAAGUAUAUGAUUCAUGAUUGUAACAUCUUGUAAAUUCCAUCUUUUUAUCAAUACAUGACGUUCUAUGUUGUUCCCUUCAUAGAAUCCUAUUUCCUGCUAUAACAGCAGAGUUGAGUAGUUGCCAUCCAGACUGUGUGGCUUCCAAAGCUUAAAAUAGUUACUGUUUGGCUCUUUAUAGAGGAAGUUUGCUGACCUUUGCUUUAAGAAGCUUUUAAUUAGCAGAUUUCUAUCUAAAAUCCAGUAAAAACCGCAUAUAUAGUAAUGAUUACUUUUGCCAGGAAGGUGGGAGAUGAUCAUACUGCAAAACAGUUGCAGAUUUGAUAUAGGUAUACUUUGGAGAUAUUGCAGAUUUCAUUCCAGACCAUUGCAAUAAACUGAAAAUCAUAAUAAAGUGAAUCAAUGAAAUUUUUGGUUUCCCAGUGCAUAUAAUAGUUAUGUUUAUACUAUACCAUAGUGUACUAAGUGUGCAAUAGCAUUAUGUCUAAAAAAUGUACAUCCCUUAAUUAAAAAAAAAUGUUUUAUUACUAAAAAAAUGCUAUCAUGUGAGCUUUCAGCCAGUCAUAAUCACUGAUCACAGAUCACCAUAACAUACUAGUAACACUGAGAAAGUUUGAAGUAUUGUGAGAAUCACCAAAAUGUGGCAUAAAGAUAUGAAGUAAGCAAAUGCUUUUGGAAAAAUUGUGUUGAUAGACUUGCUCGACUCAGGAUAGCUGUAAGCAUUUAAUUUGUUAAAAAAAAACCCAAACAUUAUCUGUGAAGUGCAAUAAAGUGAAGCAUGCCUGUAUGUGCAACUUCUCUGCCCUACCUCAUUUGAUAGUCCACAAGUAUGGGGAGCACCCUGUGUGCUGGAAAGGGAGGUAGACACUCUGGGUAUAUUACAACACUAGGGAACAUAAUCUUUAAUUUUAGGAGUACAUGUAGUCUAGUUGGAGAGAGAAAAUCCCUAUUGCUUAGAAAAAUUAUCCAGCUGUAUUUAAACAGGACCUGUUGGAUAUGUCAUUGUCUAAAUACAACAUGAGAAUCCCCAGAAGAAAGAAGCAUCUGAAAUUCUAAUAAUUCAGAGAAUUUUGAUUUGUACACUGAAAAAUAGCCUUCAUUUUAAUUUCAAGAUAUAUUAAAGGAUUAUCUUUAGGUAUUGUGUACCAGGACUAAUAAGUGUCAUAUUUUGCCUCACUUAAAAAAUACAUUUUGAAUUUCAUUGCUCUAUUUUAUUUUAUUUAUUUUUUUAAAGUUUAUUUGAGAGAGAGAAAAAGAGAGAGAGAGAGAGAGACAGCACAAGAAGGUGAAGGGCAGAGAGAAGGAGAGAUGGAAUCCUCAGCAGGCUCUGUGCCAUCAGUGCAGAGCCUGAUGUGGGGCUCCAAUCCACAAGCUGUGAGAUCAUGACCUGAGCCAAAUGAAGAGUCAGUCACUCAACUGACUGAGCCACCCAGGCACUCCUAAUUGCUCAAUUAAAAAAAAAAAAACAAACCUCUAUGAUUUCUAGGUUGAUAAAUAAACCUUGCAAAUUCAAACCAUACUUUUUCCCUUCCUGUUUUUAUUCAGCUUAACAGAAUCGAAAAACUGAAGUUUGACUUUCAUGGCCUAUAAGGUAUAAAGGUUGGACAGCCCGAAUAGAAAUAACUGGCCAUUGUAGGUUACUGACCUCUGCUUCCUUGAAGAGAUAAUGGUAGUUUUGUGGAAAGCAAUAGUGUUGACUGAAACUUGCGUACAACUUAGCUUCAUAACUAAGAAGCUGAAUGUUUCUUUUUCUAUAUAAGAGCGUGAAAAGGCCAUUUUAAUGUUUUCAUAGAGUGGCUUCUCUUGGAAAACAUCCUUGAACAUACCAUGGAGCGGUGUCAACUGUAAUAUAAAAUGUCCUAGAAGUCUUGCAAUUUACGAGUUUAAUGGCACACCUGAGGAUUACAAGGUUUUUUCCAUCCUACUCAUAAUAGCCCAAUGACUGAUUUAGCAGAGAGGAAGCAAGAUGGAUAAUCCUGAUCACCUUCUAAUAUUUUUCCUGUCUUGCUGACUUCAGAGAUUUAGAGGUACAGUAUUUGCAGGAUUUGUACAUCUUUUAGGUGAUAUUUUAGAGUCCAACGCAAGAGAUGAAGAGGAAGAAUGGCUCUUACAUAGGUACACAUACUUCAUUAUUUGCAAUUGAGAUUAUUUUUCAGACAUCCAGUUCUUUAUUGCUCAGCUGUUUUUCAUUUUGAAGAUCAGCUUAUAAAGGUAUAAGAGCUUCUUGACAUUGUGUUUUCUCUCUGUUGACACCACUAUCUUGAGCACUGAGGAAUAUGGAACAGCCGAAUGUAGUCCCAAGGUCUGGAUCUACUGAAUUUCCCUUUCCAGUCUCCAUUUUGUUUGUUUGUUUGUUUUAAAAAUCUAUAAAUGAGAAAAAUAAUAAAGGCACUUUUCUAAUAAGGUUAUUGUGAAGAUUUUCCUCUAAUAAUGUAAAGCAGUGGACAUAUAAUUACCACUUGAUUGUGUUCAUUACCUUAAUGUACACAUAAUUGGUUAUCUCCAGUGUGCCAUAUCACCUGAAUAAAAAUAACUUUUAAGACUCACGUAAUGCUCAUAUGUUGCAGUAAAGAAUAAUCUUUUGUCUGUAGAGCGCACAUUACCAACUGUAUGGUUCUAAUGAUGCUAAAAUAGUUUUUUUUUUCUGAUUUUAAGAAAUUAGGGUAUUUUUCAUCCUUCUCUUAAUUUUUCUUAAAUGUAUGCAUGUCUCUGUCUGUUUCUGGGCCUAUCUUCCUCUCUCUCUGUAUGACUUUAUUUAUCCAGUAUAUACAAUUCAGAAGAAAUGGAGGCUGUAGGGAUAUUUACAUGCUUAAAGGUUGUGCUUGUCCCAUUAUAGUUAGCAGCAGCUCCAGGAUGGAUACAAAGCCUGGAGAAAGAGGAGUCACUCUUUUUCCUGAUUCCAAGAUACAUCUCCAGAGCAUCCUGAGGUGAUGGACUUAAACUAAAAACUAUUAAUGCUGGGUUGUAAGUGUGAAUUUUUCUUUAGCACUGCUAGUCUCUCCUGAUAACUUCCUAUUUCACAAAGUUCUGGGGAAAACUGUUUGGGUUGCCCAAUUUGGAACCCAGCGAUCAAUGAGGGAGAGUAACUAACGGAGUUUUAAAGUAUCUAUUAUACCAAUAAGCUUCAAUUCUUCCCCACUGCAGAAGCAGGUAUAGACACUGAUGCUAUACCAUAGUUUUCUGACCGCUGUUCUUAUAACACCCUCCUGACAUUCUUCAGAUGGCAAUUAAAUUAAGUACCUUGAAAUCAUGUGGGUGGUUUAGCAAGUAAGCUGUAUCUGUGUCAUCAGGGUGUAUUUUUGCAUCACUAAUUUUCACAAUGGUAUUCAAAAGCUUUUGUGGAUAUCGACCACAGGAAAGAUGUGGGUAGCCUGAAGGAGCAAUUACGAAAGAAAAAAAAAUUAAAAGUGACCAAGCAGAACAACAAUAAAGGGUCUUUCUUCCUAUUGACUUGGUAAAGGUCAGACUACGUGUGUAGCAUCCAGUAUCAACAAAGUCCAAGAAAAUGACACUUCUCACAUGCUGCUGAGGGGGCAUUUCUCACAUCACUUUUUGGAAAGCAAUUUGACAACAAAUAUCAAAAUCUUAGAAGAAGUUCUGGGUGCCAGUCAUUCUCUUUUGGAAAUUUGGUGUGUGGAAAUAAUCUGCAGGAUGAUGUUGCUAUAGGAUGUUUAUCAUAGUUCUGUGUGUAAAUAGGGAAAAAAAACUCUCAAACAAGUUAUGUGUCUAACAGUAGGGAAUUACAGACGUGCAACAGAUAUUGUAAAAUAAUUAAAAUUGUGCUAUAGAAGAAUGGAAACUGUAUGAAAUGUGAAGGAAAAUGUAGGACAGGUUACAAAACAGCUUUACACUUUCCAAUUUUAAAUUUAUAUAUUGAUCAUAUUUUCUGGUAAGAUUGAAUGUGAGUUUAUGAUGUUAAUGUCUGACUUAUCUAUUUUUUUAAGUUUUCUACGAUAAACAUAUACUUUUGGCAAGAUGGGAAAAGAAUGGUGCUUUUUUUUUUAAACAAAAGAGACUAGCAAGAAUAUUUUAUUAUUUCAUUCAGAGAUUCCAAGUUCUCUGGGGUUAGAUUCAGUCUGUGAAAUAUCACAUAAUAAACACAAUAGAUAAAUCUAAUUGUCAGAGCAGCUGAUUUGUUUUCCAGUUAAGUGAAUUAUUUUUCUGAAACAAUCUGAUGAAUUUCUUGGUAAAGAUCAAGUCUUUAAAAAAUCCAAAUUUUCCUUUUGUUGAAUAAAACCAAUAAUACUGAUGUGAUUAUAAAGGAUAAAUAAAAACCAUAAGGGAAUAGACUUGGUCAAGCUUGUUCGGAAAACAUUUAUGAAUAAACUAUUUUCAAAGGACUGUGACCAACAUUGCUCCAAACCUUAAAUCUUUCUUGUCCUUCUGGGUGUUCUGUUAUGAAUGAAAAAGCAGAAAGACUUAAAUAAGAAAUCCUACUCACCAUCAAGCACCAUCUCACUUGCUGCUCUUUGUUGACUCAUAUCAAUUCCUGUGUUCUAGCCAAAAGUUGCUUCUUGAGAUUAUAAAGACCCAUGUGAUUUCCUCAAAAGGUAUUACCUUAAAGUCUACUUUCUAAAUAAAAAGUUUGGGUUAGUUGCCUGAGAGCAGGACAGUAUUUUCUAUACCCUGGGUGUGGAAUUUGGCAAAUGAGAGAAUCUGGACAAUUAACGUGAGUUAAUAAUAUUUAUGGAUACUCUUAGGUUUGGAGUCGCUUCUGUUACAAAUCUUUUCUAAGGAAAUUGAAGAACUUUACCUUAUGCUUCAUCGACUAGGUUUCUGGUUGCCCAUCCAGCUGAGUCCUUGCACCAUUGCAAGGUGAAUAGAAAAGUGUAUCUUGAGAAAUUCACCAUUUGUUGGAAGAAUUCAAGCAAAAAGGAAAAGGACUCCUUUCCUUGUAUGUCACUCCUCUUAAAAAAGACUAGAAGUAUCUGAGGACUGAAGGGGAGAAAGCUAUCAAUUUCCUGCUCCAGAGACUACAUGUGAUCCAAUUCCACUGCUUUCUUCUCCUGACACUCUUAACUUAGCUUGCAUGACAACCUUUUAUACAGUGAUGGACUAAGGACAUAUUGCAAUCAUCCUAGCAAGGGUGAAUCGUUUAAAUAACUCAUCGUGGUUGAGAAAAUGGUAGGGAGGACACUUUCUUUGCUGUUCCUUUCUCUGGAUAUAAAUCCUCAUGUUUGUUUUGGGACAUUGGAGCUUCAAUUUACUAAAAUUCUCUACUUUGUACAGCUUAAAGCACAUAAUACUACAGUUCUAGUCUUGCAAAAACUAUAUGAAGUAGUUAAAGUUUUUUUUU